rnacentral:rRNA from 1 species
UACGGAGGGGGCUAGCGUUGUUCGGAAUUACUGGGCGUAAAGCGCACGUAGGCGGACUGUUAAGUCGGGGGUGAAAUCCCGGGGCUCAACCCCGGAAUGGCCUUCGAUACUGGCGGUCUUGAGGUCUGGAGAGGUGAGUGGAAUUCCGAGUGUAGAGGUGAAAUUCGUAGAGAUUCGGAGGAACACCAGUGGCGAAGGCGGCUCACUGGCCAGAUACUGACGAUGAGGUGCGAAAGAGUGGGGAGCAAACAGG